rnacentral:rRNA from 1 species
UGUGUAGGCGGUUGUUUAAGUUUGGUGUGAAAUCUCCCGGCUCAACUGGGAGGGUGCGCCGAAUACUGAAUGACUAGAGUGCAGGAGAGGAAAGUGGAAUUCCUGGUGUAGCGGUGAAAUGCGUAGAUAUCAGGAGGAACACCGGUGGUGUAGACGGCUUUCUGGACCGUAACUGACGCUGAAACACGAAAGCGUGGGUAGCAAACAGGAUUAGAUACCCUGGUAGUCCACGCCCUAAACGAUGCAUAUUUGGUGUGGGCAGUUCAUUCUGUCCGUGCCGGAGCUAACGCGUUAAAUAUGCCGCCUGGGGAGUACAGUCGCAAGGCUGAA